rnacentral:rRNA from 1 species
CCUACGGGCGGCAGCAGUGGGGAAUAUUGGACAAUGGGGGGAACCCUGAUCCAGCCAUGCCGCGUGUGUGAAGAAGGCCCUCGGGGUGUAAAGCACUUUCAGUGAGGAAGAACGCCUGGUGGUUAAUACCCAUCAGGAAAGACAUCACUCACAGAAGAAGCACCGGCUAACUCCGUGCCAGCAGCCGCGGUAAUACGGAGGGUGCGAGCGUUAAUCGGAAUUACUGGGCGUAAAGCGCGCGUAGGUGGCUUGAUAAGCCGGUUGUGAAAGCCCCGGGCUCAACCUGGGAACGGCAUCCGGAACUGUCAAGCUAGAGUGCAGGAGAGGAAGGUAGAAUUCCCGGUGUAGCGGUGAAAUGCGUAGAGAUCGGAAGGAAUACCAGUGGCGAAGGCGGCCUUCUGGACUGACACUGACACUGAGGUGCGAAAGCGUGGGUAGCAAACAGGAUUAGAUACCCGUGUAGUC